rnacentral:rRNA from 1 species
UACGUAGGGGGCUAGCGUUGUCCGGAUUUAUUGGGCGUAAAGAGCGUGUAGGCGGCCAGGUAGGUCUGCUGUGAAAACUCGAGGCUUAACCUCGAGAUGUCGGCGGAAACCAUCUGGCUAGAGUCCGGAAGAGGAGAGUGGAAUUCCUGGCGUAGCGGUGAAAUGCGCAGAUAUCAGGAAGAACACCCGUGGCGAAGGCGGCUCUCUGGGACGGUACUGACGCUGAGGAGCGAAAGCGUGGGGAGCGAACAGG